GAAAGAAAAAGAAGACCAUUCAAAACCUUUGAGAAAGAGAAAAUCCAGCAGUGACUCGAGAAAAUCCAGCAGUGACUCGAGAAAAUCCAGCAGUGACUCGAAGAUUUCGAGCAUCUAAGGCGGGAUAGAGAGACGACACUGGACUGAGGCUCUUAAUGAUGUCCUCACUGGGUCCCCGCUUGAUCCCUUUUAUGUCUCCCACAUAUAUAAUCCCCGUGCUGCAUGGCUGGUUAGCAAUGAGUAAAAAUGCUGCAGGACACACUGAGUUCUAAAAGAAAAGAAAUUUCACGCUGUCGUGUAAAAAUGGUUGUGGUCACGUCAAAAAAAGGGCGCAGCCACGGCAAACUGGGUGUGGUCAAAUCAAAUUGGGCGUGGUUGCGUCAGAAAAGGGUGCUGUCGCGUCAAAAAAACAUAGGCAACAAAAAAAACCGCGGGUGCCAAAAAAAAAAAUUUUUGCCAUUUUUCGAAUCUUCUUGCUGUUUCGCAAAUUUUAUGGCGACGCAAAAUGGAACAGAUUCGCUCAUCACUACUGUUAUGUAUUUAGUACAGAUCAGGAGAAAGCUUUCCUCACAGUGGUGCAAUCUAGAAUAGCUACUUUUUAUUUGUUGCCCUAACAACAAGUAUACAUGAUCUUUUGUUUCCUGCUCUCAAAGAUCCUUCAGAGCUUGGCAGGAGUCUACUCAGUUUGCUCCUCUCUCCCUCUUCCCCUCCCAUCUCUCCUCUCCC